UUAUUUCUUGUAUUUGAUUCAGACACAUAGACUGAUUAAGGCAUAAAAGCGGCGCCGAAGCGCCGAAGCACACUAUGCCUCCACGGUUUUGAAGGGUCGAAGGCCACGAAUGGCCAUUCAUUAAUGAUCCCUCCGCAGGUUCACCUACGGAGA
rnacentral:misc_RNA from 1 species